rnacentral:lncRNA from 1 species
GGACCUCAGGAAGGUUUCGGGGGACACGACUGCUUCAUACCACCGGCCAAAGGAGGGCGGCCUCACCGGUGGCCGGAGAUCGAGCGGCGGCGGCCAGCGGGCCAGGGGCUUGGAGGCGGUGGCUGUUUUGGGCCAUGAUGGAUCCGUUCCGAUGGCCAGAGGAGAGCGUCUCUGUUCCGCCGGCGAGAAGAGGGCACCGGUCAACGCAGAUCGAGCCGCGGUGGACGAACUGAGAGGAAGGGGUGGCAACUGGAUUUUCUUCCGAUGUUAGGCGCAGGCGGUGGUGAUGUGGAUAGGCUGUAUGUGCAGCUCGCUAAAUUAACUGUAGUUAAUGGGUUUCAACUUUGUAGAGUUUAUAGAUAGAUCAGCGUCCUUUAGCAAACAAAUAAAUAAAACACUGACAAUGAAUAUAUACAAAUUCACAAAGCUACAGGAAUAGAUUAUCUAAACAGAUAUGCUAUCGAUUAGUAUUUCCUCGGACAUAGCAGAGGCAACGCACUAAGCCAGAUCACACGUCGUGCAGAAAUCGUACACGUAGUGUCGUACGUGAAGUAUUUCCGGCACUGAAAAAGGAAGGCAUCAAUAUAUUCUCUUUUUUUUGCGAGGAAGGCAUCGAUAUAUUCUCUCAAAAGCAAACAAAAAAAACUGAAAUAAAUCAUAGACCCAGGAAAAUAAAGGAAGGCAUCGAUAUAUACCGAGAGAAAACUAACACUUUCUCCAAUUCCCCACUACACCAAAAGAUGCCCCAAAAAAGAAAGAGGAAAUUUGUCGGAGGACA